rnacentral:tRNA from 1 species
GGUGGCUCAGUGGUAGAGUGCUUGCCUCAUAUGCAUGAGGUCCUGGGUUCGAUUCCUCAGCACCA